rnacentral:ncRNA from 1 species
CAAAGGUCUGGUCCUAGCCUUACUAUCAGCUAAUCUUAAAUUUACACAUGCAAGUCUCCGCACACCAGUGAAAACGCCCUCCACACCUCCACAGGACCAGGAGCCGGUAUCAGGCACAUAUUGCCCAUAACACCUAGCUCAGCCACGCCCCCAAGGGUACCCAGCAGUGAUAAACAUUGACUAUAAGCGAAAGCUUGACUCAGUUAAAGACGCCAGGGCCGGCCAAUACGGUGCCAGCCGCCGCGGAUACACCGUCUACACGACCCAAGUUGAUAAUCUUCGGCGUAAAGCGUGAUUAAAGUCCUCACAUCAUUAGAGUUAAAUGAAAACAAAGCCGUGAAACACUUGUUAAUUAGAAAACCAAAAACGAAAGUUACUCUAACUCAAACCACUUGAAUACACGACAGCUAGAAAACAAACUGGGAUUAGGAACCUCACUAUGCCUAGCCGUAAACUAUACACUCACACCUCAAUCGCCCGGGAAUUACGAGCUAAAACUUAAAACCCAAAGGACUUGACGGUGUCCCACUCCCCCUAGAGGAGCCUGUGCUAUAAUCGACUAUACCCGCUAAACCCCACUGCUUUUUGACAAUCAGCCUGUAUACUUCCGUCGUAAGCUCACCAUGUUGAAAGAUAUAUAGUAAGCCCAAAGGGUUCAACCCCCAACACGUCAGGUCAAGGUGCAGCCAAUAAAGCAGAUAGUAAUGGGCUACAGUUUCUAUGAUAGAACCAACGAAAAGCCAUAUGAAAUACGGCCACGAAGCAGGAUUUAGAAGUAAAAAGAAAAUAAAGUGUUCUUUUUAACUAGGUACUGGGACGCGUACAAACCGCCCGUCACCCUCUUCACUUUCAUCUAAUAGCUCAAUAACCCCUAAACAUACACUAGAAGAGGCAAGUCGUAACAAGGUAAGUAUACUGGAAAGUGUACUUGGAAUAU